rnacentral:lncRNA from 1 species
CCCGGCCACAGCCAGUUUCCCAGGCGGUCACACGCAGGGGGCUCUGCAGGCUCCACCCACGUGGGCGCGGAAAAGCCAUUCCUGAAGGGGACUGUGGUGCGCCCAGUGUGGCGCCCGGCUCGCAGCCCGCAAGGGACGGAGCUGGGACUUGCGGAGCAAACAGGGCCCGGAAGGAAGCAGAAUGAGGCCGGCCGCUGUGCCCCAGGGGCCGGGAGGACCGGGCAGGGUGGAGCAGCCGGGGCGGGGCUAGCGCUGGGGACACAGCGGGACUCCGGUGCUGCACCUCGGGUCUCAGUUCUGGUCACCAAGCUUGCCAAGGGCUGACCAUGGGGAGAGUCUUCUUAGACACGGGAACGUUGUGCAGGCAGCUCGGAGACGCCCAGGCGAGCCUGAGAGCCAGCUGGCACUUUAAGAUCACCGCGCGUUGCAAGGCGCUGCGGUGGGAGUGAGCCGGCUUCAGUCCCAGGUGCCCCCAGGCAACACCUGUUCGCCCGUGUGGAGUGGAGACAAGGGCAGGACGAGCCCCCUCUGAGCAGCGCUGCCUGCACUGCCAGGUCCACGAGACCUCCCAGGAGCCAUCAGGACCCAGCAGCCACGCCCCGGCCCUGCAACAGACUGUGCGGGAUCUGCGUCCUCACAGCCCUCAUCUGACUGUGCGGGGUCUGCGUCCUCAUCACAGCCCUCAUCUGACUGUGCGGGGUCUGCGUCCUCAUCACAGCCCUCAUCUGACUGUGCGGGGUCUGCGUCCUCAUCACAGCCCUCAUCUGACUGUGCGGGGUCUUGUCCUCACAGCCCUCAUCUGACUGUGCGGGGUCUGCGUCCUCAUCACAGCCCUCAUCUGACGGUGCGGGGUCUGCGUCCUCAUCACAGCCCUCAUCUGACUGUGCGGGGUCUUGUCCUCAUCACAGCCCUCAUCUGACUGGGCGGGGUCUGCGUCCUCAUCACAGCACUCAUCUGACUGUGCGGGGUCUGCGUCCUCACAGCCCUCAUCUGACGGGGGGGGGUCCUCGUCCUCACAGCCCUCAUCUGACUGUGCGGGGGUCUUGUCCUCAUCACAAACCUCAUCUGACGGGGCGGGGGCUUGUCCUCAUCACAACCCUCAUAUGAAGGGGCGGGGGCGCGUCCACACAAACCU